rnacentral:misc_RNA from 1 species
GUGAAUCAUCAAAUUUUUGAACGCAAGUUGCACUCUCUUCGGAGAGUAUGCCUGUUUGAGGGUCAGUAUUAAUAAAAAUCGGUGUGUUGCUUCUUUGUGACGCUGCGGGUUUUGGGUCAUCUUAAUAUCCUUUAGGUUUUAAGAUGCUUAAAGUUGACUUUUUUGCGCAUUUUAGACGUACAUAAAUUCUUUUUUUUUUUCGUUGUUCUUAAUGCUCAAAAUCCUAUUGGAUGCGACCAUAUCUUGUGGUUGGGGG